rnacentral:rRNA from 1 species
GACGUAGGGCGCGAGCGUUGUCCGGAUUUAUUGGGCGUAAAGAGCUCGUAGGCGGCCUGUCGCGUCGGUUGUGAAAGCCCCGGGGGCUUAACCCCGGGUCUGCAGUCGAUACGGGGCAGGCUAGAGUUCGGUAGGGGGAGAUCGGAAUUCCUGGUGUAGCGGUGAAAUGCGCAGAUAUCAGGAGGAACACCGGUGGCGAAGGCGGAUCUCUGGGCCGAUACUGACGCUGAGGAGCGAAAGCGUGGGGAGCGAACAGG